UGAGGAAUAUUGGACAAUGGGCGAGAGCCUGAUCCAGCCAUGCCGCGUGCAGGAAGACUGCCCUAUGGGUUGUAAACUGCUUUUAUACAGGAAGAAUAAGCCUUACGUGUAAGGUGAUGACGGUACUGUAAGAAUAAGGACCGGCUAACUCC
rnacentral:rRNA from 1 species